UACGUAGGGCACAGAGCGUUGUUCGGAUUUACUGGGCGUAAAGGGCGCGUAGGCGGCGUGGUAAGUCACUUGUGAAAUCUCUGAGCUUAACUCAGAACGGCCAAGUGAUACUGCUGUGCUAGAGUGCAGAAGGGGCAAUCGGAAUUCUUGGUGUAGCGGUGAAAUGCGUAGAUAUCAAGAGGAACACCUGAGGUGAAGACGGGUUGCUGGGCUGACACUGACGCUGAUGCGCGAAAGCUAGGGGAGCAAACGGG
rnacentral:rRNA from 1 species